rnacentral:rRNA from 1 species
GACGAACCGUGCGAACGUUAUUCGGAAUCACUGGGCUUAAAGCGCGUGUAGGCGGGACGGCACGUCGGUCGCUGAAAUCCCCCGGCUCAACCGGGGAACGGGCGCCGAUACGACCGCCCUGGAGGGGCGUAGGGGGACCUGGCACUUCCGGUGGAGCGGUGAAAUGCGUUGAGAUCGGAAGGAACGCCCGUGGCGAAAGCGAGGUCCUGGACGCCUACUGACGCUGAGACGCGAAAGCCAGGGGAGCGAACGGG